rnacentral:rRNA from 1 species
GACGAACGCUGGCGGCGUGCUUAACACAUGCAAGUCGAGCGGAAAGGCCCUUCGGGGUACUCGAGCGGCGAACGGGUGAGUAACACGUGAGUGACCUGCCCCAGACUUUGGGCUAACCCUCGGAAACGGGGGCUCAUACCGGAAACGCCACAGCUUCGCAUGGGUUCUGUGUGGCAAGUGUUUCGGUUUGGGAUGGGCUCGCGGCCUAUCAGCUUGUUGGUGGGGUGAUGGCCUACCAAGGCGACGACGGGUAGCCGGCCUGAGAGGGCGACCGGCCACACUGGGAUUGAGACACGGCCAAGACUCCGACGGGAGGCAGCAGUGGGGAAUAUUGCAAAAUGGGCGGAAGCCGGAUGCAGCGACGUCGGGUGAGGGAUCACGGCCUUCGGGUUGUAAACCGCUUUCAGCAGGGACGAAGCGUAAUUGACGGUACCUGCAGAAGAAGCGCCGGCUAACUACGUG